UGUUUUAUUUAGGAAAAUAUGAUAAGAUUAAGGUAUAGUACGAG
rnacentral:misc_RNA from 1 species